AUGUGACGUCACGAGACGGCGCCGUGCUCCUGCGUCUGUGAUUCUGCUGAAGAAAGGUGCAGAUGAUGUAAAUUCCUCCCCGCACACAAGGCAGUCGACUGAGUUACUUGAUUUACUUCGCUUUUUCACACCAAGGCUUCUGUUCUUGGGGGCUGUCUUUUUACUCUUUCGAACCUCUUCCUCUGCAACGGCUGGAGUGUCUGUGAGGAUGGCACUUAUUAUCUUCUUUCUGGGCUUGGCAACUUCUUUUCUUGGAGGUGCCUUGGGAAAGGGCCUGACUAAAGCAGGAAUGAAUUCAGGCACAGAGGAGCCCUGGUGAAGAGAGGAGGAGCCCUGGUGGAGUGUGGAGUGUGGUAGUGCUCGAGGUAUUGUGGCCGACAUGGACGGACACGGAAGUCAACUCAGAGUUUAAGAUUUAACACUGAGUUUGUUGAACCUCCUUUCUGGAAUACACCCCUGCUAAAGUGUCAAAUAGGACUCCAAAACACAAAACAAACAUUGAAGAUGUGAGGAAAUUGUAAAUCGUUCUUAUGGUAAAAAAAAAAAAUGAAAUAAAAAUGAGAUCUUAUGAUAAUAUGGUAAAAUAAUUUUACAUACACUUAUUUUACCAUAUUAACAUAAAUAGGAAAAUAAAGCAAUCUCUGUCUCACCAUCUUCCAAGAUAUACUUCGUCUCCCUCAUGUUCUCCAGCAUCUCCCUCUAUCCUUGCCUCCAUUAUUUACCUGUCCCCUGCUCCUGGCAGUCUCCAUCAGCAAGAUUCAUCACUAUCCUCGUCGAUUACUCAGACUGUCAAUUUACCUGAACUCACCUACCAUUAUCCAUUGCAAGAAAACUGUUAAUAAACACACCUGUUGGGUUAACCUAUCAUCUUGUCUCCGAGUCUGGUCUCCCAUAACAAACAUAUUUGACCCAAAUUUUUUAAGUCUUUCAUGUCAGAGUGUUAUAAUUCAGGUGGUUAUGAGGUUGCAUCUUUUCUUUGAAUAUAUUUUCUUCGACAUUAAAGAGAUUAAAUAUCACUAACAAUGCAUGUGCCAUGCAAAUGUUUGCUAGCACGCUGACAGCAGAUUUGUAAGUGAACACCAGCUCCG
ensembl:lncRNA